UCUUUUUUUUUAUUAACUGGCAUAUUUUGAGAGAGAAACUUCCCCUUCCCAACUAUUUGUUGUUUUUAUUUUUAAAUUUUUUUUUAACUUGCUGAGGUUUGCUGGUAUUCCUAUAUUUAUUCUGCCUGAAGUUGAUGUAUUUAAUCAGUUUUGGAAAAUCAUUGGUUAUUAUGUCUUUAAAUAUUUCUAGUGUCUUUGUUUC
rnacentral:lncRNA from 1 species